AACGAACUCUGGCGGCGUGGAUAAGACAUGCAAGUCGAACGAGAGAAUUGCUAGCUUGCUAAUAAUUCUCUAGUGGCGCACGGGUGAGUAACACGUGAGUAACCUGCCCCCGAGAGCGGGAUAGCCCUGGGAAACUGGGAUUAAUACCGCAUAGUAUCGAAAGAUUAAAGCAGCAAUGCGCUUGGGGAUGGGCUCGCGGCCUAUUAGUUAGUUGGUGAGGUAACGGCUCACCAAGGCGAUGACGGGUAGCCGGUCUGAGAGGAUGUCCGGCCACACUGGAACUGAGACACGGUCCAGACACCUACGGGUGGCAGCAGUCGAGAAUCAUUCACAAUGGGGGAAACCCUGAUGGUGCGACGCCGCGUGGGGGAAUGAAGGUCUUCGGAUUGUAAACCCCUGUCAUGUGGGAGCAAAUUAAAAAGAUAGUACCACAAGAGGAAGAGACGGCUAACUCUGUGCCAGCAGCCGCGGUAAUACAGAGGUCUCAAGCGUUGUUCGGAAUCACUGGGCGUAAAGCGUGCGUAGGCUGUUUCGUAAGUCGUGUGUGAAAGGCGCGGGCUCAACCCGCGGACGGCACAUGAUACUGCGAGACUAGAGUAAUGGAGGGGGAACCGGAAUUCUCGGUGUAGCAGUGAAAUGCGUAGAUAUCGAGAGGAACACUCGUGGCGAAGGCGGGUUCCUGGACAUUAACUGACGCUGAGGCACGAAGACCAGGGGAGGAAAAGGGAUAGAUUCCCCCGUUGUUCCGGGCAGUAAAACGGUCCACGCUGGGUGUGGGGGGAAUCGACCCCCUGCGUGCCGGAGCUAACGCGUUAAGCGUUCCCGCCUGGGGAGUACGGUCGCAAGAUUAAAAACUCAAAGAAAUUGACGGGGACCCGCACAAGCGGUGGAGUAUGUGGCUUAAUUCGAUGCAACGCGAAGAACCUUACCUGGGCUUGACAUGUAAUGAACAACAUGUGAAAGCAUGCGACUCUUCGGAGGCGUUACACAGGUGCUGCAUGGCCGUCGUCAGCUCGUGUCGUGAGAUGUUUGGUUAAGUCCAGCAACGAGCGCAACCCCUGUUGCCAGUUACCAGCACGUGAAGGUGGGGACUCUGGCGAGACUGCCCAGAUCAACUGGGAGGAAGGUGGGGACGACGUCAGGUCAGUAUGGCCCUUAUGCCCAGGGCUGCACACGUACUACAAUGCCCAGUACAGAGGGGGCCGAAGCCGCGAGGCGGAGGAAAUCCUAAAAACUGGGCCCAGUUCGGACUGUAGGCUGCAACCCGCCUACACGAAGCCGGAAUCGCUAGUAAUGGCGCAUCAGCUACGGCGCCGUGAAUACGUUCCCGGGUCUUGCAAGCACCGCCC
rnacentral:rRNA from 1 species